rnacentral:piRNA from 2 species
UGAAGGUUACCUGAAAUCUUGUUGGUCCUGU